GACCUGCUCAGGAUGAACGCUAGCUACAGGCUUAACACAUGCAAGUCGAGGGGCAUCGGGAAGAAAGCUUGCUUUCUUUGCCGGCGACCGGCGCACGGGUGAGUAACACGUAUCCAACCUGCCCUUUACUCGGGGAUAGCCUUUCGAAAGAAAGAUUAAUACCCGAUGGCAUAAUGAUUCCGCAUGGUUUCAUUAUUAAAGGAUUCCGGUAAAGGAUGGGGAUGCGUUCCAUUAGGUUGUUGGUGAGGUAACGGCU
rnacentral:rRNA from 1 species